UUUAGCAGGGUAAGACUAGUUUGCUGCGGGUAAUAUACUUACCACGUGAACAAAAUCAUUCUUUAGCAUGUUCUUCGUUAAAUCUAUAGAAAGAAAAAUAAUUGAAUAUAUGCAUGAACAAACGGCAGACAUAAGACAGCACGGUCCAAAAACAUUAAAAUAGCGAAGCAGUGUCACAUUUGUAAGGGGAACUUGGGUUGCCGCACAUAUUCUUACACAAAAUUGACAGUGUCAUUAAUAAUUGAUUUCAAGGUUAAUAAAACCAGUCCCUAAGGCCAUUGGAAAGCUGCAAUAUUUAAUGAAUAGACUAUGUUUAUACCUUGACGAUAAAAUUAUAGAAACAAUACAUUAAUUUUAAAAUCCGAGUAAUAAGUACUCUACAGUGUGUAUAAACGAAGCUGCUGUUUCUUGGUUUUGUUUGUUUGGUUUGGGUUUAACGCCGUUUUUCAACAGUAUUUCAGUCAUGUAACGGCGGGCAGUUAACCUAACCAGUGUUCCUGGAUUCUGUACCAGUACAAACCUGUUCUCCGCAAGUAACUGCCAAUUUCCCCACAUGAAUCAGAGGUGGAGGACUAAUGAUAUCAGACACAAUGUCGUUUAUCAAAUAGUCACGGAGAACAUACGCCCCGCCCGAGGAUCGAACUCGUGACCCCGAGAUCCGUAGACUAACGCUCUUACCUAUUGAGCUAAGCGGGCGGGCUUUUCUUGGUACUGCAUUAGACGUACACACACUACCGCCAUUUUUAUCAUAUGGAAUGUUUUUCUUUUCUGUGAUACUUUAAUGCUUGUACACUGUACAUGUUUUAUGAGGUAUAUCACACUCAAAAGUAAGCAUGGUAGAGUUAUAGUUAGUGUACACUUCACUUCUUAAUUUUGCUGUAUCAUUAUGUGAUAUAUCAUAUUGAAAGUAUUAACAAAAUAAUUCCAAAUUUCCUGGAUAAAAAUCGUAUAAAAUUUCCAGGUUUUGAUGUGGAAGACCAAAGGUGUCCCUGGGCGUAAUUUCAGGCACAAGCAAGCGCCUAGGUAUAAUCACAAACCUUCCGUAAGCCAGAUGGAUGGCUUAAAAGCCAGAUGGAUGAUUUAAAAGCCUUUCUCAGAUGAAAUAAUUUUACAACCUAAGCGAGAUUCCGAGCUCAAAGCGGUAGAGGGCAAGUGAUUCAAAGUCAUUGACCUUAACCACCUUGCCACCGGGACUCCCGAAAAGAAAGCUUUUUAUAUGAGGAAGUCAACCAGCUGGCUUAUGGAAGGUCGGUAGUUCUACCAGGGUGCCUGUCCGUGGUAAAGUAAUGCCCGGAGUAGCAACCGGGGUCCUUUUCACCUUCGAUUGCUGGAACAGUUGGCGUACGAUCUGAAUUGUGUUGGUGUGGCAUUAAACUCAUACAAAACUGAUAUCAUGUUGAUGAAGUAUACCAAGUUUCGUUACUGCAAAGUCCUACCAAGAGGCCAACGGGGAUUUAUAUGCUCACCGGAGAGGACAUUGACCGUGUGGCCUUGCUUUGAUAAAAUUUGUUUUGGUAGAGAGAAGUUUGAGUAUUUACAGUUGUUUGACCUGUCUUACCCUGUGGCAGUCCCAUUAUGAUUAAAUGCAAACUUGAAGACAAUGGUUAGUGCAGAAGGGACAAAAAAGUAAUAAUAAAAGUAACAGAUAUAAAUAAGAAGUGCUACAAGUGUGUUGUUCGGUGAAGUGGACUUUACCCCAACUAUGCUUCAUGAUGUAUAUUCAAGUGUGAGACAGCCAUGCACCAGCUGUAAACUGAGAUGGACCCAUACAUGAAAUAUGUUGACUUGUCUAUGUAUUAUCAUCUGUACAGAACGUGUUUAUGACAAGAAUGUAUACAUAUAUUGUUAAAUCAUUUUUUAUUUCCAUUAUGGCAUGCAUGUAAGAAGCAAGUAUUAAUUUAACAAUUGCAUUGAUAGAAAUGUUAAAACGUGAUCAAUCUAAUUUAAAGAAUAACCUGUAAUUGGACAUUUGAAGUUUCAUAUUAUUUGUGGUGGAGAUUGACCCAGUCAUUCAGCAACUUAUACUGUCUGUGAGUCAUUUCUUGUAUGUUAUAGUUUUCUUAAUAAUGCAUUAAAUAUCAAAAUUACGGUUAAAUGAACUCAUUCAUCACUUGUAGAUUAAUGUUAAAGCAGUUCAACAUUUCACCAUAACUUCAUUAAUAUUCAACCAGAUUUGUCACAUAUUUUCAUAUAAACAUUUGUAUGAUACAGUCUAAUCUAAUCUAGAAAUGAUGUUCAACAACUGUUCAGUGAUAUAAUUUUUGUUGUUUUGAUGUCUCAACAAAACUUAAGUAUUUUACAAUUUGGUUCGUAGAAAGGAAAUGGUUGUUUUGUUUAUAUGUUUUAUUUAUUUCCAUCCAGGGGAAUAAAGAAAUAUACAUUUAAAAUAUCACAUCGUUCAUUCCAGAUAAGUACAUUACAUAAUCAAGAUAAAAGAAAUAACAACAAUUAUGUUGGUGGAAUUUUAUUUUAAACAAGAGGGCCAUGAAGGCCCUGUAUCGCUCACCUGACCUA